rnacentral:tRNA from 1 species
GAUCCUCGUGGGAUAUGGUUGAUUUGAAGUCAGUCUAAGGGUGUUCGAUUCAUCUAAGGAUCU